UGGGAUAUUGUUUUUUCUGUUUUUGAGAAAUUUUCUUUUUUUAUUUUUUAAAAAAAUUAUCAUUUUUGGAGUACAGAAGAGAAACCAGAAAUACACCUAUUUUGUUUGGCAUUUGACCACUCAUUCUUGAGGAACUCUCACAGCUGAGUACACAGCCAUGUGGCCAUUACAGCUUCUAAUCUUCAUGAUGCUUUUAGCACCAAUAGUUCACGGUGGCAAGCACAGUGAGCGACAUCCAGCCCUCGCUGCCCCGCUGCGACACGCUGAGCGCAGCCCAGGAGGCGCUCUUCCACCCAGACACCUGCUUCAGCAGCCAGCUGCAGAGCGCGCCACUGCUCAUCGUGGACAAGGGCCCCGCGGAGCUACCAGAGGAGUUCGUGGUCCAGGUGCCCCAGGAGCACAGAUUGCAGCCCAAGCUUUCAGCCGUGCCCCCAUCCCCAUGGCCGUGGUCCGCAGAGAGCUGUCCUGUGAGAGCUACCCCAUCGAGCUCCGCUGCCCGGGAACAGACGUCAUCAUGAUUGAAAGUGCCAACUAUGGGAGGACCGAUGACAAAAUUUGUGACUCGGACCCUGCUCAGAUGGAGAAUAUCCGGUGUUAUCUGCCAGAUGCCUAUAAGAUUAUGUCUCAGAGAUGCAAUAACAGAACCCAGUGUGCAGUGGUGGCAGGUCCCGAUGUUUUUCCAGACCCGUGUCCAGGAACCUAUAAAUACCUUGAAGUACAGUAUGAAUGUGUCCCUUACAAAGUGGAACAAAAAGUUUUCCUUUGUCCUGGACUACUAAAAGGAGUAUACCAGAGUGAACAUUUGUUUGAGUCGGACCACCAAUCUGGGGCAUGGUGCAAAGAUCCUCUCCAGGCUUCGGACAAGAUUUACUAUAUGCCCUGGACGCCCUACAGAACGGACACUCUGACCGAGUAUUCGUCCAAGGAUGACUUCAUUGCUGGGAGGCCGACCACAACCUACAAGCUCCCGCACAGGGUGGAUGGCACAGGGUUUGUGGUGUACGAUGGAGCUUUGUUCUUCAACAAAGAACGCACCAGGAACAUAGUGAAGUUUGAUUUGCGGACUCGGAUAAAGAGUGGGGAGGCCAUCAUAGCAAACGCUAAUUACCACGACACCUCCCCUUACCGAUGGGGAGGCAAAUCUGACAUAGACCUGGCAGUGGAUGAGAAUGGGCUGUGGGUAAUCUAUGCAACAGAGCAAAACAAUGGCAAAAUCGUCAUUAGUCAGUUGAACCCUUACACUCUACGCAUCGAAGGGACGUGGGACACCGCGUAUGAUAAAAGGUCUGCUUCCAAUGCAUUUAUGAUUUGUGGGAUUCUGUACGUGGUCAAAUCUGUAUAUGAGGAUGAUGACAAUGAGGCCACUGGGAAUAAGAUUGACUACAUUUACAAUACAGACCAAAGCAAGGAUAGUUUGGUGGAUGUACCCUUUCCAAAUUCAUACCAGUACAUUGCGGCUGUGGAUUACAACCCCAGGGACAACCUACUUUACGUGUGGAAUAACUAUCACGUCGUGAAAUAUUCUUUGGACUUUGGACCUCUGGAUAGUAGAUCAGGGCAGGCACAUCAUGGACAAGUUUCAUACAUUUCUCCACCAAUUCACCUUGACUCUGAGCUGGAAAGACCUUUUGUGAGAGAAAUCUCUACCACAGGCCCUCUCGGCAUGGGAAGUACUGCCACCAGCACCACCCUCCGGACCACAGCCUGGAGCCCAGGAAGGAGCACAACCCCUUCAGUGCCAGGAAGAAGGAACCGGAGCACCAGCACCCCGUCUCCAGCCGUCGAGGUGCUGGACGACAUGACCACACACCUUCCAUCAGCAUCGUCCCAAAUCCCAGCGCUCGAAGAGAGCUGCGAGGCUGUGGAAGCCCGAGAAAUCAUGUGGUUUAAGACCCGGCAAGGACAGGUAGCAAAGCAGCCAUGCCCUGCAGGAACUAUUGGUGUAUCGACUUAUCUCUGCCUUGCUCCUGAUGGAAUUUGGGAUCCCCAAGGGCCAGAUCUCAGCAACUGUUCUUCUCCUUGGGUCAAUCAUAUAACACAGAAGUUGAAAUCUGGAGAGACAGCUGCCAACAUUGCUAGAGAGCUGGCUGAACAGACAAGAAAUCAUCUGAAUGCCGGGGAUAUCACCUACUCUGUCCGGGCCAUGGACCAGCUGGUCGGCCUCCUGGAUGUUCAGCUCCGGAACCUGACCCCAGGAGGAAAAGAUAGCGCCGCCCGCAGUUUGAACAAGCUUCAGAAAAGAGAGCGCUCUUGCAGAGCCUAUGUCCAGGCGAUGGUUGAGACGGUUAACAACCUCCUCCAGCCGCAAGCUCUGAAUGCGUGGAGAGACCUGACUACAAGUGAUCAACUACGUGCAGCCACCAUGUUGCUUGAUACUGUGGAGGAAAGUGCUUUUGUGCUGGCUGACAACCUUUUGAAGACUGACAUUGUCAGGGAGAACACAGACAAUAUUAAAUUGGAAGUUGCAAGGCUGAGCACAGAAGGAAACUUAGAAGACCUAAAAUUUCCAGAAAACAUGGGCCAUGGAAGCACUAUCCAGCUUUCUGCAAAUACUUUAAAGCAAAAUGGCCGAAAUGGAGAAAUCAGAGUGGCCUUUGUCUUGUAUAACAAUUUGGGUCCUUAUCUGUCCACGGAGAAUGCCAGUAUGAAGUUGGGAACAGAAGCUAUGUCCACAAAUCAUUCUGUUAUUGUCAAUUCCCCCGUGAUUACAGCAGCAAUAAAUAAGGAGUUCAGUAAUAAGGUGUAUUUGGCUGAUCCUGUGGUGUUUACUAUUAAACAUAUCAAGCAGUCAGAGGAAAAUUUCAACCCUAACUGUUCAUUUUGGAGCUAUUCCAAGCGUACAAUGACAGGCUACUGGUCAACACAGGGCUGUCGGCUCCUGACAACAAACAAGACACAUACUACAUGCUCUUGUAACCAUCUAACAAAUUUUGCAGUGCUGAUGGCACAUGUGGAAGUUAAGCACAGUGAUGCGGUCCAUGACCUUCUUCUGGAUGUGAUCACGUGGGUUGGAAUUUUGCUGUCCCUUGUUUGUCUCCUGAUUUGCAUCUUCACAUUUUGCUUUUUCCGCGGGCUCCAGAGUGACCGUAACACCAUCCACAAGAACCUCUGCAUCAGCCUUUUUGUAGCAGAGCUGCUCUUCCUCAUUGGGAUCAACAGAACUGACCAACCCAUUGCCUGUGCUGUUUUUGCUGCCCUCUUACACUUCUUCUUCUUGGCUGCCUUUACCUGGAUGUUCUUGGAGGGAGUGCAGCUAUACAUCAUGCUGGUGGAGGUUUUUGAGAGUGAACAUUCACGUAGGAAAUACUUUUAUCUGGUCGGUUAUGGGAUGCCUGCACUCAUUGUGGCUGUGUCGGCUGCAGUAGACUACAGGAGUUAUGGAACAGAUAAAGUAUGUUGGCUCCGACUUGACACCUACUUCAUUUGGAGUUUUAUAGGACCAGCGACCUUGAUAAUUAUGCUUAAUGUAAUCUUCCUUGGGAUUGCUUUGUAUAAAAUGUUUCAUCAUACUGCCAUACUGAAACCUGAAUCAGGCUGCCUUGAUAAUAUCAACUAUGAGGAUAACAGACCCUUCAUCAAAUCAUGGGUUAUAGGUGCAAUAGCUCUUCUCUGCCUGUUAGGACUGACCUGGGCCUUCGGACUCAUGUAUAUUAAUGAAAGCACAGUCAUCAUGGCGUAUCUCUUCACCAUUUUCAAUUCUCUACAGGGAAUGUUUAUAUUCAUUUUCCAUUGUGUCCUACAGAAGAAGGUACGAAAAGAGUACGGGAAAUGCCUGCGAACACAUUGCUGUAGUGGCAAAAGUACAGAGAGUUCCAUUGGUUCAGGGAAAACAUCUGGUUCCCGAACUCCUGGACGGUACUCCACAGGCUCACAGAGCCGAAUCCGUAGAAUGUGGAAUGACACGGUCCGAAAGCAGUCAGAGUCUUCCUUUAUUACUGGGGAUAUAAACAGUUCAGCGUCACUCAACAGAGGAAUGCUUUCCAGAUGUCCUCCCGCUGCACAUUGCGCUGACUCACUCGGCAUCAUGAUGCAGAACUUAUGGACCUGAGACUGACCUGCCAUAUGAACUUGUCCUCCAAUACCUGGUACCAAAAAUAUAUAGCUGCUCAUGUUUUGGUGGAAAAUUAUCCAUGGGAAUUGAGUUCCAGGAUGAAGUUAUGCUCCUCUAGAGAAGAUUCGCAUUUGCUUUUUGAGGAUCUCUGGAAGCACUACCAAUCUCCAACAACUUUUCUGUAAAUUUAUUACUUACAUUUUUAUGGGUUAACUCUAUGAGGUAAAUUCUGACUGCAAAUUUACCUGAAUACCAGCCCAUAAUUACUACUUCUCAAAGCCAAUCAUGUAUUAUAAACUUCCUUCUGGAAUUUAAUAUUGGUGAUUUACUCAAACAAUGUAAUCAGUUGUUUAAGAUUAAUAAAAAUACUUUUAGCUUGCAUGGCAGUUAGUAUAAAUAUUUGAGGAAUAAAUAGUCUGAUAUUUUGUUCAUAUCCUAGUUUCUGUGAUAGCUUGUAACACCUGUGUUACUGAAAUGAUCUGAUUGCUACACAUUUAUGAAUUCAUUUUAAAAUUUAAGGUUAGAUGGUUUAUUAGCUAUUUAGUUAUAAAAUUCAUCAUUGGAUGUUUACAGGAAGCUGAUUUGGCUAGAGCUCAAAAACUGAAGACGUUUUUAUGGCAUUGCUUAUUUGUCAACAUUUUGAUUAAUCAGGCUAAACUUUUAAGCAAUAAAAAAAAAUGAAUAGAUACUAUGAAUAAUAAUUUAAGCACCAGUGUAAUUAUAAAUACCUUCAUCAAAGUUCUGGUGCCUUAGAUAGCAAUCAACAAAUACAUUUAAUGUAAGGUCUUUCAUCGUUGUAAUUAACUAAGCUUCUCAAAGAAAAAUGCAUACAUUUUAUAAAGACAAUGUUCCUAACUUAUGGAAAUAUGAUAUUCACUUUGAUAUGUCACUUAAUAGAUUUUUCUAUCACUGCACAUCUGUAAGUUUAAUGAUUAUCUUUAUUUAUUUAGAACCAAAUUCUAAAGCAACAGAUGUACUAAAAUGAUAUAUUUGAUGCAAAAAUUUUUUAGAAUAAUUUGCAUAUGUAUAGUGUAUAUCAUUAUAUACGUACUUAUUCCUGUUUAGCACAGAUUCUUAGCAUUUCACAUAAAAGAGGCUGUGAUUAUGGAUCCCAAUCUCAUGUGCUUUUAGCUGUACAGAGAUAAAUCACAUUAUGCUUUAAAGUUAGUACUCCUUAGGUUGUAGGAAAUGGAAACCUACUCAGCUUGGCAGAAAUGUAAUUUAUUAAGGCAACAAUAUACUUGUGCCUCAGGAAUAUAAUCAGAAUGAAAAAACACUAAAGAAUCAUCUUUCAUGUCUACUCUCCGUAUGUCAUGCAUUAUUUUUCUCUUUCAUUACAGAAUAGUUUUUGUCUUUUUUACUCUCAUAGGUAGGAAAUUGUCAACACUUGCAACUAUGCAAAGUCAUGAAAUAUUUGAGAAAUACUAAAUUAACCCUUUCUGAGUCUCAGUUCCCAAUAUUUGACAAAGGGAUUGAUUGGUUGAGUUCAGGGCUCAUCCCUGAGUUAUAUAUGAUGAGUAAAUGUGAAUAUAGGGGCAGCCACAUUACCAAUGUUGAUGAAGGAAGAACAGAAUAUUUCCAGAAAAGAGAUGCUAGAAGACAACUUAGUAAGUAUCUCCUGCGGAUGACCUGGAACUGCAAGCUCACUUCAUGCCAUUCAGAGUGUGGUCCAUGGAAAACCACCACCGGCAUUACCAAGAAGCCUGUCAGACAUUUAGAAUCUCAGACCCACCCUGUCCCUUAUGAAUCAUGAUUUACAUUUAUCAAGGUUCUCAGGCGAUUUGUAUGCAUAUUAAAAACUAAAAACAUAGUUCUACUCUGUUAAAAAGUCAAAACCAGGUACAUGAAAAUUUGGUUUUGUUUCAAGGUACAUUUUACUUCUAACCAGACUUAACUCUUUAGCUUUCUGAGUUAAUCCUUUACAUCUAUGCAGAAUCCUUAUCAACUGUCUUAUAAAUAUAUUUUUUAAAUUAUAAUAUAAAGGGAAUCUUGAAGAUUGUGUAGAUUACUGUAAAUUCAUUACUGCUAAUGGAAAACCAAACAAUUUUUAUAUAUAAAUGGUUGCAUAAUAUGUCCACUGACAUUGUACAUCUAAUAUUCUAAAUUUUACUAGUAUGACACAUUUAUGUUAAAAAUUAGCUAAUUGGACAACUCAAAUGGGAACAAGUAACCUUGGUAACCUUGAUGAAAAUGUUUAAGAUAAUGGAAGUCCUUAGCUCUUAGUUGUCAGAUGCCUUUAAUUUUCAUGUAAGUAAAUGUUACAGGGCAAAAUAUUAUUAGCUAAGUGUUAUUAAUGCUUAUUACAUGCCAGAAAUUUUCCUAAAUAACUUACAUAGAUUUUCUAAUUUAUAUUUGUUCCUGUUCAGAUUUUGAUAUACCAACAACUGAACUUUUACAAAUGUAAUUGUUUUUCGCUAGGUUUUGUUUUUCGUUUUUAUCAUUGUAAUAUACAUUUUGACUUUGGAGUUUGGGAUAUGGAGUUGAACUGACUAGGAUUUGCAUUCUGGUUCAACCUCUUGCUUGUUGCAUAAGCUUGAACUAUGCAUAAUCAACUUCCUAAGCCUCAGUUCCCUAUCUGUAAAGUGAAAAUAAUAUUUCCUAUGUAGAGUUUUAAGGGUGAAAAGGACAAAAUAUCCUAGCAUAGAGUAAGUCCCAAUAAGUAUUUGUUGUUAUUAUUAUAUUUACUUCCUUAUAUGCUCAUCUUUACCUAAUUUCAUUUGGUUCUUGACAGUAAGUUUUCUCAUGUUGCUUUUAGAAAUAGUUUUACUCUAAUUGCUUAGAAAAGAAGCUUUCUUCUUGAGUCAGCCUGUUUCUUACUGAUCCAAGUAUGGCUGGUUUGGUUUAGAUUUUUAUUGCCAUUUUUAAAUAGGAACUAGAAAAUAGUAUGUGUUGCCUGCAUUUGACUAUAAAAACCAUUUGGAAUUUUUCACUCGAUCCUUUGUUUUCAUUGACUUCAUGUAAUCUUACACCAUUGUAUUUAUGCGAUGUCAGAAAUAGGUAAGCAGAGAGAAAGGGCAACAUGGAAGACAUUAUUUGGGGAUGUUUAUAUAUAUUUUUGUCAAUAUUCUUUCCAUAAAUAAAACUCUAGCUUAUUUCCUGAUUCAAUACUGGAUUUGCUAUAGACAAUCCAUGCAACAUUUUAGAGGCCAGAAACUCCAGGUUAGAAAGUUUUGUAGAAAAUGUAUGCCUUCGUAUAAUCAUAAAGAUAGUAAUUGAUCUCAUUUAAAUUGAUUUUAAAGAACUUUGCAAAUAUCCUUUAAUAUCUCUGUAUGACAUU